UUGCUUCAGCAGCACAUACACUAAAAUUGGAACAAUAUGGAGAAUGUUAACAUUGCACCUGCACUAGGAUUACACGCAAAUUCAUGAAGUAUUCCGUGUUAAA
ensembl:snRNA Rnu6-482 RNA, U6 small nuclear 482